GUAGCAACAGUCAGGGAGGGCGGUCCAAACAGAAAUUUUUUUUUCUUUUUUUGCCACAUGUUAACAUUAGAAGUUUUGCUUUCCUUUAAAACAAGAGAAACAGGAGGCAGAUGGCCUUUUGUACAGAUUCCUCUUAAGGCAGAAAUUGCCACCUAAAAAGGUUAUUGAAAAGCUCACAUGUGGAAGAGUCUAAGUUGGUUUUUCAGAGAGAACACUAAAGACCGACUGCCUUUCUUGAAAAAGAAGCCCCUUCCCAGGUGUCGAUCCCAGUGAACUCCCUGGUAAAUCUCCUGCACACAAAUAUCUUGUCUCAUAGUCUGCCUCCUGGAGAAUGCAACCUAAGACCAUUUUCCCCCCUUACAUUUUAAUGCCCUUGUAUCACUUCUGAAUGAGCUGGAUGUUCUUACUGAGAACAGAAAGAUAUAUAUAUAUAUUUAAUAUGUUGAUGAAUACUUCCUUGCCAUCAACUUGGAGUUCUUCAGUAGACAACUGGCCCUGCUAUCUAAUUACUGUCAGAAGGACUGUAAGGUCAACAACUCCAAAACUAAAUUUAUUAUUUUGGGAAGAAUUCCUGUAGUACAUAAUUGGAACUUCUGUAGGGGUACAUUUUGCAGCUAGUUUAUCCUG